rnacentral:rRNA from 1 species
GAUGAACGCUGGCGGCGUGCCUAAUACAUGCAAGUCGAGCGAACAGACGAGGAGCUUGCUCCUCUGACGUUAGCGGCGGCCGGGUGAGUAACACGUGGAUACCCUCCCUAUAAGACUGGGAUAACUUCGGGAAACCGGACCUAAUACCGGAUAAUAUAUUGAACCGCAUGGUUCAAUAGUGAAAGACGGUUUUGCUGUCACUUAUAGCUGGAUCCGCGCCGCAUUGGCUAGUUGGUAAGGUAACGGCUUACCAAGGCAACGAUGCGUAGCCGACCUGAGAGGGUGAUCGGCCACACUGGAACUGAGACACGGUCCAGACUCCUACGGGAGGCAGCAGUAGGGAAUCUUCCGCAAUGGGCGAAAGCCUGACGGAGCAACGCCGCGUGAGUGAUGAAGGUCUUCGGAUCGUAAAACUCUGUUAUUAGGGAAGAACAAAUGUGUAAGUAACUAUGCACGUCUUGACGGUACCUAAUCAGAAAGCCACGGCUAACUACGU